rnacentral:lncRNA from 1 species
UACAAUGAAAACAGUAUGAAUGUCAAUGGGAAAAUUAUAAAAUGAAUAAAACAUAAUACUAUACAUAAUUAGUUACAUACAUAUUCUAGGUGCAAAGAAAAAAAGAUAAUAUCAACUUUUUAACUCGCCUUACCCAGAUUCACCACACAGCGAUGAAAAGACAUUUUCUAGGGGCAAAAUCUCAAAAUUUUAGGCAUUUGAACUAGCAGAAUGUACGAUUGAAUGAUACCGUUAUCACAGUUUAAUCCUGUUAUGAUACCCUGGAUAUUGCUGGUAUUCUGUACACAAUUGAAUACUAGUACUGGAUAGGAAGCGCCAUUAUUGUAUUAUUAAUUGAAACUGUAUUCUCAUUAUGUAGCAAAUAUACUAAACUUUCUCCAGUAACAAGGGCAAUCAAAAUCAGAAGUCUAAGUCAAGACUACUAUCAUUUUAAAAACAGAUACCACUGCUUUGGACCUUCAUGUUCAUGGCAGUAUCAUCAUCAUUAUAGUAGUAAGUCUCAAGGUACUGACAUGAUUAGGACAAGCUUUUCAAAUUCGCUGUUGAUAAACUUUGUAAAAAUGACGGAACAGAAGAUUUGAUUUGUCUUUCAUAUUCUCACAAAAUUACCGACCAGGCAGGCAACAAUUAUCUUCGUGUUUUUUAACGUAAAAUACACCGAAAUAAUCACAUCUUAACCCUUAGUAAAACAAGACACAUUACAAGCAUCAAUGAAUUUUAUAUACAUCCAGUAAGAUUUCAGCAAAAAUAUUUGAGUUCUUUUGAAUGCACGAUAAAAUCGUUUUCAAAGUAAUACAAUUGAUUCAGAUAUCGCAUACUUCGUCCAUGAACAUACUUCAACAUAAUCUUCCAGUAUAAAAACCAAAGCAAAAAAAAGGAAGUCUCUCUAAAGGACGCAAAAGGAAUUUCGUUUAGAAGUCAAAUUUUGAAUGAAAAGAAAC